AAGACCUGUAUCUACAAUUGCUACUGGGUUCUUUUGAACGACCAGGCACAUUGUAGAGACUGCCUUGGAAACAAGGAGGAAGGUGCAGGCCACGGUAGGUCUGUAUGCUCCGAAUCUCCUGGGCUACGCGCGCAUUACAAUGACAGGGACAAUGGGAUACAACUCCGAAAGGAGAAGUUAAACCUCUAAACCCUGCCCUAGUUCGGAUUGAGGGCUGUAACUCGCCCUCAUGAAGCUGGAAUUCGUAGUAAUCGGAAUUCAAAAUGUUCCGGUGAAUAC
rnacentral:rRNA from 1 species